AUAACCGAGAGGACAGGAACAAAUCUGUUCUCCUACGCGGUCAAAGUCUUGGGAGGAUGCGAUCUAGGCGCGGUAAUUCGCAGCCGCCGGUAACCGGAACAAUGGUCGGACGCGUUUAUUGCAAGGCUUCGUGCCUUGCUUUUUUUU
rnacentral:sRNA from 1 species